rnacentral:rRNA from 1 species
GACGAACGCUGGCGGCGUGCCUAAUACAUGCAAGUAGAACGCACAGUUUAUACCGUAGCUUGCUACACCAUAGACUGUGAGUUGCGAACGGGUGAGUAACGCGUAGGUAACCUGCCUGGUAGCGGGGGAUAACUAUUGGUAACGAUAGCUAAUACCGCAUAAUAUUAAUUAUUGCAUGAUAAUUAAUUGAAAGGUGCAAUUGCACCACUACCAGAUGGACCUGCGUUGUAUUAGCUAGUAGGUGAGGUAACGGCUCACCUAGGCGACGAUACAUAGCCGACCUGAGAGGGUGAUCGGCCACACUGGGAAUGAGACACGGCCCAGACUCCUACGGGAGGCAGCAGUAGGGAAUCUUCGGCAAUGGACGAAAGUCUGACCGAGCAACGCCGCGUGAGUGAAGAAGGUUUUCGGAUCGUAAAGCUCGGUUGUAAGAGAAGAACGGGUGUGAGAGUGGAAAGUUCACACUGUGACGGUAUCUUACCAGAAAGGGACGGCUAACUACGUG